rnacentral:rRNA from 1 species
AGAGUUUGAUCAUGGCUCAGGAUGAACGCUGGGCGGCGUGCCUAACACAUGCAAGUUGAGCGAUUUACUUCGGUAAAGAGCGGCGGACGGGUGAGUAACGCGUGGGUAACCUGCCCUGUACACACGGAUAACACACCGAAAGGUAUGCUAAUACGAGAUAAUAUGCUUUUAUCACAUGGUAGAAGCAUCAAAGCUUUUGCGGUACAGGAUGGACCCGCGUCUGAUUAGCUAGUUGGUAAGGUAACGGCUUACCAAGGCGACGAUCAGUAGCCGACCUGAGAGGGUGAUCGGCCACAUUGGAACUGAGACACGGUCCAAACUCCUACGGGAGGCAGCAGUGGGGAAUAUUGCACAAUGGGCGAAAGCCUGAUGCAGCAACGCCGCGUGAGCGAUGAAGGCCUUCGGGUCGUAAAGCUCUGUCCUCAAGGAAGAUAAUGACGGUACUUGAGGAGGAAGCCCCGGCUAACUACGUG